AGAGGGUGCAAGCGUUAAUCAGAUUUACUGGGCGUAAAGCGCGCGUAGGUGGGUAUUUAAGUCGGAUGUGAAAGCCCCAGGCUCAACCUGGGAACUGCACUCGAUACUGGAUGCCUAGAGUAUAGUAGAGGGAAGUGGAAUUUCCGGUGUAGCGGUGAAAUGCGUAGAUAUCGGAAAGAACACCAGUGGCGAAGGCGGCUUCCUGGACUAAUACUGACACUGAGGUGCGAAAGCGUGGGGAGCAAACAGGAUUAGAGACCCUGGUAGUCCACGCUGUCAACGAUGAGAACUAGGCGUUGGGAGGAUUUACCCUCUUGGUGCCGAAGCUAACGCGUUAAGUUCUCCGCCUGGGGAGUACGGCCGCAAGGCUA
rnacentral:rRNA from 1 species